rnacentral:rRNA from 1 species
UGGGGAAUAUUGCACAAUGGGGGAAACCCUGAUGCAGCCAUGCCGCGUGUGUGAAGAAGGCUCUAGGGUUGUAAAGCACUUUCAGUGGGGAGGAAAAGUUGGUAGUUAAUACCUGCCAGCCCUGACGUUACCCACAGAAGAAGGACCGGCUAACUCCGUGCCAGCAGCCGCGGUAAUACGGAGGGUCCGAGCGUUAAUCGGAAUUACUGGGCGUAAAGCGCGCGUAGGCGGUUUGUUAAGUCGGAUGUGAAAGCCCAGGGCUCAACCUUGGAACUGCACCCGAUACUGGCUAACUAGAGUACGAUAGAGGGUGGUAGAAUUUCUUGUGUAGCAGUGAAAUGCGUAGAUAUAAGAAGGAAUACCAGUGGCGAAGGCGGCCACCUGGAUCGAUACUGACGCUGAGGUGCGAAAGCGUGGGGAGCGAACGGG